CAUUGCUCAUUUGUGAGGUCAAAAUUACCAGAACGAAAUUUUGCAAGCCAAUUUGAUACUGUCUGCUGUAUAAUAACAUUAUAAUGAAAUACUCCGUUAAUAUUCCGAUCUGUCUGUGAUGCUGUAUUUCCAAGAAAGAACCCAUAUUUCAAAAUUGUACGAAUUUCCGACUUAUCCAUCUCUAAACAAAAAUAGCAAAAACGAUUUAUAAACAAUCGUUAGUUAAAAAUGAGUGAGA